UACUCGGGGAUAGCCUUUCGAAAGAAAGAUUAAUACCCGAUGGCAUAAUGAUUCCGCAUGGUUUCAUUAUUAAAGGAUUCCGGUAAAGGAUGGGGAUGCGUUCCAUUAGGUUGUUGGCGGGGUAACGGCCCACCAAGCCUUCGAUGGAUAGGGGUUCUGAGAGGAAGGUCCCCCACAUUGGAACUGAGACACGGUCCAAACUCCUACGGGAGGCAGCAUG
rnacentral:rRNA from 1 species